CUAGUUCUACGGAGGGAUUACUCUCAAAGUGGCCGGUCAACAUGAAGUUUCUCUUAUGCGGCUUGGUUUGUAUUUUAACACUGAUUCAAGUUCCGGUGGCAACUGCGGGAGAUGUCUGUGAUGAUCCUAGAGUUACAGUUACAGUCAAUUCUGGAGUGGACGCAAAACUUUACUACAACAGAUCAAAUCAUGAAGAUGACCAACAUUUUCGUGGCUAUCGUGCAUACGCACAUUCGUCCGUAUUUGCAUUCCUAAACAAAACUGGAUUAGAUGGCGCUUGUACUCAUCCAUUAAAGGAGAUUUGUUUGCAGGGGAAGGCCGAAUUUAAGAAGGUGAACCAAAGCCUUUUGAUGAUAGAAAUUUUCAAUGUCGCUGUCAAUGAUAGUGGCAAGUACAAAGUCGUGGCCCUGUUCUCAUAUACACAUCAUGAUACGGAAACAGACUGAAAUGCUUACAAGUACACCAUCUAAAUGUAUCAGAUAACUCCACAGGAACCACGACAAGUCCAGUUCCUCCGUCGACUCAAGUCUACAGCCCAAGCAGCAGCCCAGAAACCACGACAAGUCCAGUUCCUCAGUCGAUUCAAGUAUACAGCCCCAGCAGUAGCUCAGAAACCACGACAAGUCCAGUUCCUCAGUCGACUCAAGUCUACAGCUCCAGCAGUAGCUCAGGU